AGGCGCUGCGGAGGGCGGAGGAGGCCCGCCGUCUCGCGGAGGCGGCGAGCGCGGCGGCCGCGGCUGCGGCGACGGCUUCGACCGCUGUGGCUUCUCC
rnacentral:tRNA from 1 species